CCAGUUCCAUCCCACCCACCCCAAGCAGGAUGUUUAGAUCAUUCUGAGGGUUUUAUGACUUAUGAUGACACCAGUGGACAUCCACAGCAGAACGUGAGCUGUUGUUGGCUCCCACAGGACCUCUGUGUUCUGCUGGUCUUCAGGAUGGAUGGCAAAGUGUGAUGGGUCAAUCAAGAGUCCUGUUCUUUCUGCCAUAUGUGACCCCACUAUUAUGGAUUCUAGCCAUCUGGACUCACCAUCAAUUGGGAACCACCUGUUCAAACAACCUAAGCCUGUGGGGGACAUUUCUCAUUCAAACCACAACAACAAACAAAACAGAAUAUUAUCUUUGAGCAGCAUGGAGGACUUCUUGGCAGUAAAUGUUAGGCUUCUCCGAACUCCACCUAGUGUUUGGCUGUGGGUCUGCAUCUGUUUCCACCAGUUGCUGGAUGAAGCCUCUCUGAUGACAGUUGGGGUGGCUGCCAGCUUCCUGAAGCUUCUUGCUGUAGGGGAAGAAACAAGACUGUGGGAUCUCUCUGUGUAGCCUUGGCUGCCCUGGAACUCUUUAUAUAGAUUAGGCUGGACUCAAACUCACAGAGAUUCACCAGCCCUGGCCUUGUUGCUAGGAUUAGAGGGUCUCUUACUGCAUCUGGAACUCACCAGUUCAGUAAGAUUGCCGGGCCAGGAAGCUUCAAGGAUUCCUGUGUAGCUGCCUUCCAGCACUGGGAUUACAGAGCCCAGCAAGAGGAAGACAGAUGCUGCAAGGAGGUCAGACUUCCAAAGAUGCCCUGAAGCCUUCAGGAAACACUCUCAACUGUCAGAGGCACACGGAUGCUGGAGG